rnacentral:rRNA from 1 species
CUACGGGUUGCUCCAGUGGGGAAUAUUGGACAAUGGGCGCAAGCCUGAUCCAGCAAUGCCGCGUGGGUGAAGAAGGCCUGCGGGUUGUAAAGCCCUUUCGGCCGGGAAGAAAAGCUUCGGGCUAAUACUCCGGAGUCUUGACGUUACCGGCAGAAGAAGCACCGGCUAACUCUGUGCCAGCAGCCGCGGUAAUACAGAGGGUGCUAGCGUUAAUCGGAAUUACUGGGCGUAAAGCGCACGUAGGCGGCUUGGCAAGUCGGAUGUGAAAGCCCCGGGCUUAACCUGGGAACUGCAUUCGAUACUGCCUGGCUCGAGUGUGGUAGAGGGUAGUGGAAUUCCGGGUGUAGCGGUGAAAUGCGUAGAUAUCCGGAGGAACACCAGUGGCGAAGGCGGCUACCUGGACCAACACUGACGCUGAGGUGCGAAAGCGUGGGGAGCAAACAGGAUUAGAUACCCUCGUAGUC